GUUCAGUGUCAGGAACAGUUUGAAUUUUAGGUUUCACUUCAUUAUGGCCUAUGUGUGUGAAUGCAAUGGAGCUGGAAUUCAAACAGGGUUGGUGCUAGCUGCAUGAAACUUCACACACUCAAUCAGCUCUCUGUGGGCACUCUUUGGUGUUUCUUUGUAAAUGUUCCUUAAGCUGAAGCAUGAAAAACAAUUUACCCAUGAGCACUUUAAGAAAAAAACAGGGAAAUAUGAAUGUACUAAAAUACCUCCCCCAAUUUUUCAUCAAAUUUCUUUGAUACUGCCUAAGAUUCUUCUGUUAAGUUGUGCCACUAGGCUCCCCAAGUUUGGGACUUCUAUGAUCAUAGGGACUCUAAACAGGUUAGAAUUAGGUUAGGGUUGGGUUAGAUCUAGUGUUAGAUUUAGAGUGAGUUUUGUUCAAAUUCAUUUGAUACUUGGCAUAAUUCAUCUUUUACCUAGCCUUACUAUUUUCCCCAGGCUUGGGCCUUAUCCCUUCAAUGGUUUGCUGUCAGGAACAGUUUGUAUUUUAAUGUUUCCUUCAUUUUGACCUAUAUGGGUAAAUGGAAAUGGAACUUGAAAUCAAACA
rnacentral:lncRNA from 1 species